CUCUACGGAGCUGCCAUGUGAUCCUGGGAAGAGGACGCCAGAGGAAGGCAUCCUCGAUAAGAUAAUGCUGUUAGGACCCAUGUCUGCUAACCGUCUCACCUAAAUAAGAAACCCAGUCUGUGAGAGCCAUCCUCGCCCUGCCAGACGAUUGAGAAGAAAUCCCAUCUUUCUUCCUGUGGAAUAGACGGUGUUGGCAAGGAGCCUGGUCAUUCAGGAGUUCUCCAUGAUCUGUUAAUAAAACCCAACUCAUAAUUAUGGCUGGCUUUAGGCAGGAGGCCAAAAUGAGGAGACUGAUUUUAUUUCUGGUUUUUCCAUCCCAUCCCUUCUUGCUGUUUCCAGUUUUAAGGCAAGUGUUAACUCUGAGGUCAGAGUUAGAAACAUUGACCUCCCUGCCCCCACCCGAGAACUCUAUUAAUCCAGAGUCAAGCCUUCUAAAGUCUCGUAGCUUCCAGAACGAUGAGAAGACACCAAUGUUCUGCAGGAGCCAGCAGGCUUGCAAACUCCAAAAUGCCCACAAUAUUGAACUUAAUGAAUCUGAUGGAUGAUUAAAUUCCAGGACCACUAGGCUACAGACAAACACCAACAACACCUUCUUCAUCUGGGGUUACUGGCACCUGGCACAGGGCCCUAUCACAACUGCCUGGGAAAUGCUCUUCUGAGUAGAACUUUUAGGUUCACAGAUCCAUGCUUCCCCACACUUUUUUUUUCUUGUAUUCCACAUAGCUUUUCAAAGGUGUCUCAAAGCCAUUCUCUAUUUGCUUGUAACCUUUAGAAGAAAUAACCCACCUGGAAUUUAUUUCAUGUGUGAUAUGACAAUAUAAUUUUGUCCCAACUCAAAAUACCAUUUGUUUACAUACACUGCUUUUUAUUAAGUUGCUUUAUUUUGUCCUGUUUGUCCAGCCCCUAUGUUAAAAUGACAGCAGCUUUAGAAUACACUUUAAUAUUAGACAUUUCCCUCAAAAUUUCCAGAUUAUUCUUUUGAAGCUGUUUUUCACAUGAUCUUCAAAAUAAAUUUAAAUAAAUAACAUACAGAAAACAAAAAAAGCUGUUUGCUGUGGAAUAUUCCUUUAUACUGGGUGAAUAUGUGUCACCGUGAUUGGUUUAACAAAGAAGCUGACUGCCCAAUAGCUGAACAGGAUAAGGUUAGAUGGGAGAGCCAAAUUGAGAAUGCUGGGAAGAAGAGGGGUGGAGUCUGGAAGUAAGAUACGCAUGCAGUACUGAGAACAGGUCCCAAGCCACGUAGCAGAUCAUAGGUAAGAAAUGUGCAUUAAUUUUUAAGAGUUAGCUAGUAACAAGCCUGAGCUAUUGGCUGAGCAUUUAUAAUCAACAUUAAGCCUCCAGGUGUUUAUUUGGGAGCUGCUGGUGGGACAGAAACUUCCACCUACAAGUUGGAAUUUCAGCAAAUGUGUCUAUAUAGUCUGUUUUUUACAGGUGCUAUUUUUGAAGCACUAGUGUUUUCUGAUUUUAAAAGUUAUUACUUCUUGUCUAGUUGCUGUGUCUGCAUAUUAUGCCCGCCUACUGUGUUUGCUUAUUACCCACAGAGGCCACAAGAUGGCAACAGACUCUGCAGCUGGAGGUACAGAAGGUUGUAUGUGGGUCCAGAGAAUAGUACCCUGGUCCUCUAGUCUUCUUAGUCACUGAGCUGCCACUCCAGCCCAGAACUUUUUUUUAAAAAAUAAUGCAGAGCCGAUAGGAACCUGGUAAACCUUAAAGUAGC
ensembl:lncRNA